rnacentral:rRNA from 1 species
UACGUAGGUGGCAAGCGUUGUCCGGAAUUAUUGGGCGUAAAGCGCGCGCAGGCGGCCUUUUAAGUCUGAUGUGAAAGCCCACGGCUCAACCGUGGAAGGUCAUUGGAAACUGAAAGGCUUGAGUACAGAAGAGGAAAGCGGAAUUCCACGUGUAGCGGUGAAAUGCGUAGAGAUGUGGAGGAACACCAGUGGCGAAGGCGGCUUCUGGUCUGUAACUGACGCUGAGGCACGAAAGCGUGGGGAGCAAACAGG